rnacentral:tRNA from 2 species
GCGAUCUUAGUUUAAAAAAAAUUGUAGUUUGUCUCAUUACAGAUGGUGUGUACCAGGUUGCU